UCGAACGGGGAGCUUUUUUAGCUUGCUUUAAAAGUUCCUAGUGGCGAACGGGUGAGUAACACGUGAGUUACCUGCCCUGAAGCGGGGGAUAGCCCGGGGAAACUCGGAUUAAUACCCUAUGUGAUCGCAAGAUUAAAGGCGGCUAUUUAUUUAGCUGUCGCUUCAGGAUGGGCUCGCGGCCUAUCAGCUAGUUGGCGGGGUAAAGGCCCACCAAGGCGAUGACGGGUAGCUGGUCUGAGAGGACGACCAGUCACACUGGAACUGAGACACGGUCCAGACACCUACGGGUGGCAGCAGUCGAGAAUCAUUCGCAAUGGACGAAAGUCUGACGGUGCGACGCCGCGUGGAGGAUGAAGGCCCUAGGGUCGUAAACUCCUGUCAUCAGGGAGUAAAAACUUACGUAGUAACUGACGUAGGUCUUGAUAGUACCUGAAGAGGAAGGGACGGCAAACUUCGUGCCAGCAGCCGCGGUAAUACGAAGGUCCCAAGCGUUGUUCGGAUUUACUGGGCGUAAAGAGUCUGUAGGCGGUAUGGUAAGUCAGAUGUGAAAUCCCGGGGCUCAACCCCGGAACUGCAUCCGAUACUGCCAUACUAGAGUAUUGGAGGGGAGUCUGGAAUUCUCGGUGUAGCAGUGAAAUGCGUAGAUAUCGAGAGGAACACUAGUGGCGAAGGCGAGACUCUGGACAAUAACUGACGCUGAGAGACGAAGGCCAGGGUAGCGAAAAGGAUUAGAUACCCUUGUAGUCCUGGCAGUAAACGGUGCACGCUUGGUGUGGGAAGGUUCGACCCUUUCCGU
rnacentral:rRNA from 1 species